rnacentral:rRNA from 1 species
GAAAGGUGACCGACCUUCGGGGAGCCAUUUACAGGUGUUGCAUGGCUGUCGUCAGCUCGUGCCGUGAGAUGUUCGGUUAAGUCCGCUAACGAGCGCAACCCUCGCUGUGUGUUAUAUGUGUCACACAGGACUGCUGGUAUUAAGCCGGAGGAAGGUGGGACGACGUCAAGGUCAGCAUGACCUUUAUAUCCAGGGCUACACACACGCUACAAUGGUCAGUACAAUGGGUUGCCAAGCCGCGAGGCGGAGCCAAUCCUAAAAAGCUGGCCUCAGCUCAGAUUGCAGUCUGAAACUCGACUGCAUGAAGUCGGAGUUGCUAGUAAACGCAGGUCAGCUAUACUGCGUUGAAUACGUUCCCGGGGCUU